UACGUAGGGUCCGAGCGUUGUCCGGAAUUAUUGGGCGUAAAGAGCUCGUAGGCGGUUUGUCGCGUCUGCUGUGAAAUCUAGAGGCUCAACCUCUAGCGUGCAGUGGGUACGGGCAGACUGGAGUGGUGUAGGGGAGACUGGAAUUCCUGGUGUAGCGGUGGAAUGCGCAGAUAUCGGGAGGAACACCAGUGGCGAAGGCGACUACCGUGGCC
rnacentral:rRNA from 1 species